rnacentral:rRNA from 1 species
GACAGAGGCCUCAAGCGUUGUCCGGAAUCACUGGGCUUAAAGCGUGUGUAGGCGGGAUGGUAAGUACCUUGUGAAAUCCCACAGCUUAACUGUGGAAAUGCUUGGUAUACUGCCGUUCUUGAGUCACCUAGGGGCAGCUGGAACAGAUGGUGGAGCGGUGAAAUGCAUAGAUAUCAUCUGGAACGCCAAUGGUGCAGACAAGCUGCUGGGGGUGUACUGACGCUGAGGCACGAAAGCCAGGGGAGCAAACGGG